AUGGAGGAGCACCACAGGUUGCUCCACCUUUGUCGCCUCUCAAGUCCCAACCCACCUCCGUCGCCUCACCUAAUCCCCACCAAAGCUCCACCCUCGGCGAGCCAAAUCAAGGAUGACCAGGGCAAGUUCCUGCCUCCACCGCAUCAGAGGCUUCACCGCGGGUCCGUGGCCACCUUGGCCAAGCCCGGUGCUGCACGCCGCUGUUGCCUUUCUGCUGACGGGCCGCUGUUGCCUCUCCCUGUUUCCCCUGCAAAGCUUCCCCUAUGUGUCCUCACCCUCUGCCUCAUCUCAGUCUCUCGGGGCACGCUCUCCCUGUCCUUCUUCCCUCGUUCUUCCACCUGA
rnacentral:rRNA from 1 species